GAAAUGCGAUAAGUAGUGUGAAUUGCAGAAUUCAGUGAAUCAUCGAAUCUUUGAACGCACAUUGCGCCCCUUGGUAUUCCAUGGGGCAUGCCUGUUCGAGCGUCAUUUGUACCCUCAAGCUCUGCUUGGUGUUGGGUGUUUGUCCCGUCUCCGCGCGUGGACUCGCCCCAAAGUGAUUGGCAGCCGGCGUACUGGUCCCGGAGCGCAGCACAUGUCGCGCAAACGAGUGCCUUGGUACGGCGGCGUCCAUAAGCCCCUCUCUCACGCUCUUGACCUCGGAUCAGGUAGGGAUACCCGCUGAAGUUAAGC
rnacentral:misc_RNA from 1 species